GCUCUGAUGGCCAAGUUGGCAAGGCGUAUCACUAGUACAGACAAAGAAGCUAAUGGCGAGAUCAACAGUUCAAAUCCGUUUCGGAGCA